GUCUAGUACUCAGAGUUUGAUCCUGGCUCAGGAUGAACGCUGGCGGCGUGCAUAACACAUUCAAGUCGAACGGACGAGGGGCUUCGGCCCUGAGUUAGUGGCGGACGGGUGAGUAACGCGUGAGCAACCUGCCCCUGUAUGUGGGAUAACGUUUGGAAACGAACGCUAAUACCGCAUGACGCAAGGACCCCGCAUGAGGACCUUGCCAAAGAUUUAUCGUACAGGGAUGGGCUCGCGUCUGAUUAGGUAGUUGGUGGGGCAACGGCCCACCAAGCCGACGAUCAGUAGCCGGACUGAGAGGUUGAACGGCCACAUUGGAACUGAGAAACGGUCCAG
rnacentral:rRNA from 1 species